UACGGAGGGUGCAAGCGUUGUCCGGAAUCACUGGGCGUAAAGGGCGCGUAGGCGGCUCAUGAAGGCUGUGGUGAAAGUCCGGGGCUCAACCUCGGAUCGGCCGUGGCGACUCGUGGGCUGGAGCACUGUAGAGGCGGGUGGAAUUCCGGGUGUAGCGGUGGAAUGCGUAGAGAUCCGGAAGAACACCAGUGGCGAAGGCGGCUUCCUGGUCCGACACCGACGUUCAGGCACGAAAGCGUGGGGAGCAAACAGG
rnacentral:rRNA from 1 species